rnacentral:rRNA from 1 species
GAUGAACGCUGGCGGCGUGCCUAAUACAUGCAAGUCGAGCGAACGGACGAGAAGCUCGCUUCUCUGAUGUUAGCGGCGGACGGGUGAGUAACACGUGGAUAACCUACCUAUAAGACUGGGAUAACUUCGGGAAACCGGAGCUACUACCGGAUAAUAUUUUGAACCGCAUGGUUCAAAAGUGAAAGACGGUCUUGCUGUCACUUAUAGAUGGAUCCGCGCUGCAUUAGCUAGUUGGUAAGGUAACGGCUUACCAAGGCAACGAUGCAUAGCCGACCUGAGAGGGUGAUCGGCCACACUGGAACUGAGACACGGUCCAGACUCCUACGGGAGGCAGCAGUAGGGAAUCUUCCGCAAUGGGCGAAAGCCUGACGGAGCAACGCCGCGUGAGUGAUGAAGGUCUUCGAAUCUUAAAACUCUGUUAUUAGGGAAGAACAUAUGUGUAAGUAACUGUGCACAUCUUGACGGUACCUAAUCAGAAAGCCACGGCUAACUACGUG